rnacentral:rRNA from 1 species
AUACGGAGGGCGCAAGCGUUGUUCGGAAUCAUUGGGCGUAAAGCGCGUGUAGGCGGCUUGGUAAGUCGGGUGUGAAAGCCCGGGGCUCAACCCCGGAACUGCACUCGAUACUGCCUCGCUAGAGUCUCGGAGAGGAAGGCGGAAUUCCAGGUGUAGAGGUGAAAUUCGUAGAUAUCUGGAGGAACACCAGCGGCGAAGGCGGCCUUCUGGACGAUGACUGACGCUGAGACGCGAAAGCGUGGGGAGCAAACAGGAUUAGAAACCCCAGUAGUCC